rnacentral:rRNA from 1 species
GGGGAUGCUUAUACUGCAGUCGAGCGAGCUUGCCUAGAUGAUUUUAGUGCUUGCACUAAAUGAAACUAGAUACAAGCGAGCGGCGGACGGGUGAGUAACACGUGGGUAACCUGCCCAAGAGACUGGGAUAACACCUGGAAACAGAUGCUAAUACCGGAUAACAACACUAGACGCAUGUCUAGAGUUUGAAAGAUGGUUCUGCUAUCACUCUUGGAUGGACCUGCGGUGCAUUAGCUAGUUGGUAAGGUAACGGCUUACCAAGGCAAUGAUGCAUAGCCGAGUUGAGAGACUGAUCGGCCACAUUGGGACUGAGACACGGCCCAAACUCCUACGGGAGGCAGCAGUAGGGAAUCUUCCACAAUGGACGAAAGUCUGAUGGAGCAACGCCGCGUGAGUGAAGAAGGGUUUCGGCUCGUAAAGCUCUGUUGGUAGUGAAGAAAGAUAGAGGUAGUAACUGGCCUUUAUUUGACGGUAAUUACUUAGAAAGUCACGGCUAACUACGUGCCAGCAGCCGCGGUAAUACGUAGGUGGCAAGCGUUGUCCGGAUUUAUUGGGCGUAAAGCGAGUGCAGGCGGUUCAAUAAGUCUGAUGUGAAAGCCUUCGGCUCAACCGGAGAAUUGCAUCAGAAACUGUUGAACUUGAGUGCAGAAGAGGAGAGUGGAACUCCAUGUGUAGCGGUGGAAUGCGUAGAUAUAUGGAAGAACUCCAGUGGCGAAGGCGGCUCUCUGGUCUGCAACUGACGCUGAGGCU